AUUGAACGCUGGCGGCAGGCCUAACACAUGCAAGUCGAACGGUAGCACAGAGGAGCUUGCUCCUUGGGUGACGAGUGGCGGACGGGUGAGUAAUGUCUGGGAAACUGCCUGAUGGAGGGGGAUAACUACUGGAAACGGUAGCUAAUACCGCAUAAUGUCGCAAGACCAAAGCGGGGGACCUUCGGGCCUCGCACCAUCGGAUGUGCCCAGAUGGGAUUAGCUUGUAGGUGAGGUAAUGGCUCACCUAGGCGACGAUCCCUAGCUGGUCUGAGAGGAUGACCAGCCACACUGGAACUGAGACACGGUCCAGACUCCUACGGGAGGCAGCAGUGGGGAAUAUUGCACAAUGGGCGCAAGCCUGAUGCAGCCAUGCCGCGUGUAUGAAGAAGGCCUUCGGGUUGUAAAGUACUUUCAGCGGGGAGGAAGGCAGUCGUGUUAAUAGCACGGCUGAUUGACGUUACCCGCAGAAGAAGCACCGGCUAACUCCGUGC
rnacentral:rRNA from 1 species